rnacentral:hammerhead_ribozyme from 1 species
GCACUGCUGACGAGUCCUAGAAUGGGACGAAACGACCGUCCAGUGC